CUCCUUUGUUCCUUGUGUCCUGCAGAACUCUCCUAUGCCCUACUCAUUGGACUGUGCACCCCUUCCAUGUCAUUUCAUGGAGCAGAGUGUCCUACACCAGGAAGAUGAAGGCCCAGGGACAUCCCUUCCCCAUCACUCUGUGGCAUGAUUUCUAAUGGGACCCUCCCACCUCCAGGACUGGAGUGCUGCAGAAGUCCCUUCUUGUGGCUGCUUCCAGGCCAGGCCACAUCUCAGGCUGCAACCAGGAUAUCUCUGAAAACAGAGGACAUGCACAGGGAGAGACAAGAACACUUACUGCUUUGUUUUAUGGCUGCCCUGAAAAUAGACAUCAGCCCCUGGAUGGUGUAGUAUACAGAAUUUUAACGAGCACAAAGCAAGCAGCUCACUUCUUACUGUGGUAUGAGAGGGGUGACGUCAACCUAUCCAUGAAAUACUGAAUUGAUUUUGAAACAGCUUUAAAGAUUCCUUCUGAGGUUUGGAAUCCUUGAGUUUCCAUUAAGGAACUGGAUGCAGAUGAAACAUUGGAGUCCCGGAAGAUGAAGUGAAACAUCAUCCUUGCUUUUUUUCUCCCAUCAUCUCAUCACGGGAUUCACUUGAGACUAAUUCUUAAAAUAUCAUUUGAAUCUUCUCAUGUUUUGAUAGCCCCACCUCUCCUGUCACAGGCCAAGCCAUCUGACAUUUUUCUGCUGAUCACAGCAAGUUUAUUGUUCACCCACUUCCUACCAGGCUUCCUAUCCAGCCUAGCUCCAAAAAUUCUAAAAGCAAUGAUAUGGCCACAUUACUGCCAAGUUUAAGCCUUCCCAUAAUCCUCAGUGUGCAUGUCAGCAGUGGGGGCAUAAAAAGCUCCUUUAAAUCAAUCUGUACCCAUGGGUUUAACUUUAGUUGCUUAUAUUCUAUUUUCAGUCUCCUCCUCCACAUUAAUGUACUGUUUUCUAUUUUAUGAUUCCCUCAAUGGCAUUGGACACAGAAAUGGAAAUGUGGCAGGAAAUAGAAAAUCUGUUUCUUCAGAUUGGGUUCUCUUGAAUCUCUGUUAUGUAUCAUAGGACAAAAUAAUUUAUAGAUACUCAACAAAUUUUGGUAAAUGAAUGGACUAUUGAAAGGUGGGUCCGUUUAUUUUCAUUUCUGGCCACAGUUACAAUAUCUCCACUGAGCCAUAGUUUACUUUCUCCAGAAUUGUUGAUAUAUAAUGAUUGAAAUGAAGGUUUCACUUAAGGUUACUUUUUCUCAGUCCCAUUGUAGUAACUUUCAAUCAGUUUAAAGUUUUUAGAUAUUGGCUGAUCAUCUCUUACAGAUUUUGUUAUGGUUCUUAAAAGAAAUAGAACCUAUCAGUUGUAAUGGGAAACAAACAAUAUAUAUAAUUUAUAUUUAAUCUAGAAAGAAUUAUUAUAAGGUUAUAAGAUAUCAGCUCAUGUGACUAUGAAGGCUGUGAAUCAACAAUCAGUAAGUCUCUAAAUUUGUAAGCUUGAGACACACAAAAACUGGUGGUGUAGCUGAAAGGCCUAAAACCUAUUGGUAUAUACACUAGUCAAGGUCUCAAAGCCUGAGGAUCCAGAGUGGCAAAUCAGCACAGUCAAGCAGAGUCAAUACAAAACUUUUUGUGCUACUCAGCCCUUCAGCUUAUUGUAGGAUACCCCCCACCUCACUGGGGAGGGAAAUCUGCUUUCUCAUUCCACCAAUUCCAAUACUAAUCUCUUCUAGGAAAACUCUCAUAGACACACUCAGAAAUAAUGUUUAACCAGCUGUCUCGUUGGCACAUAAUUAUUAAUCAUCUCAGAGAUAAUAUAUGUAACCCCCAACUUGACUUUUUAGGACACUUAAUGAAUAAAUUGUUAGUUUAUGAAAUUGGUAUAAGUUGUGAAACUUGCAUGAAUAAAUGGUAGAAGACUUUUUUCUGAGUUUGACAGGUUUUACUUUUCUUUUAAGCUUUGCUUGUUAUAUCCAGAUAUAAAACACUUUAAUAAUUCCUGUUGUUAUAUUACAAAGGAGGAUUCCAUUUCAUUCAUUAUUUGAGGUGUGAAAAGAAGGAUAACUUUUUCAUUAGUUUUCCAUCUGGUAGUAUUAACAUGGACAUUUACUUUUAGCAGUAAUCACUGGGUUCUAUUUUUUGGUGAGCAUAUUAAUAGAGUGUUAAUAUUUUUCUCCUUUAAUCUUUUCAGGAGAGAAGUUUAUCCAUUUCUUAAUUGACGUCCAAUAUGCUUGAAAAUUAGGAGUAAUAAACACAUGCAAAUUAAUGUCUGUUCAUCUUGGACAGGAAAAUCCUUUGGGUUGAAAAAAAUUUUGGUUUAAGCUUUUCCAGUAUCAUUUAUUCCCUUUUUUGCACUAAUUUUUUUUUUUUUAGGAAAAGCAUGAAAAAUUUAUAUUUGCAAAUUAUAAGUGAAAAGUGUUUCUGCAUUGGUGGUCUUAUACCUUUGAUUUCUAUUUUAUUUAUCAUUUGGUUGGCAUUGAUAUACUUUCAGAAGGACUUUUAUUUUUACUUCCAAAAUGUUGGCCAGCUAUGCUAGGCUUACUUAUACAUCUUUUGAUGACACUGUCAAAUUAGUGGAUAUUGGAAUGGCAGGGAAGAAGGAUUAAUUGGAGAGCAUUUCCAUCCAGUUGAGUUUAAUAUAGGGCAUUGUUUCAGUUCUGCCCAUCAGCCUGGAUGCUCUUGGUUUUGUAGGAUUCUCUUCAGCUGGAAUGGUGUUAUGAAGUGUAAAUGGUGGUGAAUCUGGGUGCAGAUGAUAUGCCUUAGGAUAUGAGCCUGUAUUAUUGUAACAGUGUCAAGAAAUGUAGCUCAGUUGUCUUGAGGAGUAACUGCACAGGUUAUUACUAGUUCUACUUGUGCCACACUAGUUCUCAACUAACCUUGUAAAGAAAUAUUGUAUUAUACCCAUCUCCUCUGCCAUUGGCCUCAUCCCAGAUCAUGGAUUCAGAAAAGAAUAAGGAAAUGGGGAAAUGACCUAACUGUGCCUUAGAACAUUGAUCUUUCUUGUUGCCUGCUUGCUGUACAGCUUCUAAUCUGCUUACCACCUGUGCCAAACUCAGAAUGGCUGCACAACUCAUGAGUUGUAGUGCUUCCCACAAGACCCUCUUCCACAUCGUGUUUGGCUGUUUGGCCCAUGCUGCCUGUAUAAGUUGGCAUUUCUGGAAACUAAUUUAUGCCAUAUUUGAAACCAAGUAAGAACCAUACUAUAUUCUACAGUCUUUACUGGAGUCCUAUGCUAAUAUAUCCCAAAGAAUGACUGCUGCUACCUGAGUUUCUGUAUUGGUUAGGGUUCUAUAGAGGAACAGAAUAUAUAUAUACAUAUUUAUAUAUAUAUAUUUCUAUCUAUCUAUCUAUCUAUCUAUCUAUCUAUCUAUCUAUCUAUCUGUGGGGAUUUACUAGGUUGAUUUACAGGAUCAGAGCUGGAAGAAUUCACAAUGGCUAUCUGCAUGCUGGAGAGCCAGAGAAUCCAGUAGCUGUCAGUCCAAGAAACUGGAAGCUGCAGAACAAGAAGGAUAGAGGAUGCAGUGUGGUCUGAGACCGAAGGCCUGGAAGUUGCUAGUAUGAGUCUGCACUGAAAGGCUGAAGAAAGUGGAGUCUGACAUCCACAUAUGAUGGCAGUAGCAAAAGAUGCACCUGCUCAAACAGAAGGGAACUUUUCAAAUGUGGGCCAAUUUUUCCCUCUUUCCCUUUUACUAAAUUCAGGCUCUAAGCCUAUUGGGUGGUGCCACCCACAAUUAGAGUGGGUCUCCCCCCCUUAGUUUGCUGGCCUACAUGUAAAUUAUCUCUUGAAACAUUCCACAGACACAGUCAGAAGUGUGCUUUCCUAAUUGUCUGGAUAUUUCUUAAUCUAGUCAAGUUGACUGAUCAUGACUGAUGGCCAGUCUCUCACCACUGGCCUUUCAACUAGUCCAAUACUCAAAUUGAAGCCCUACCCCAGCCGGAUCACCUCUUCCCAGCAGUCUGCAGAACUUGUUGCUGCAAUUGGGUAUAGUCUAGCACCUCCUCUGUCUGAAUAGAUGGCUGUCAGCUCUUCCUUGCUUUAUAUUCCUAAGUUUCCAUUACAAUCCCGUUCUAGCUAAAUUCCAAAGGUUCUAAAAUCUUAUUAGUGUGUUUGGUUUGUCCAUUGAUUUGUAGGUGACAAAUAUGUGUCAAAUGGAUUUGUCCCUAGAAGGCAGAAGAUAAUGUGUUCUAGAAGGAUUGAAACCUUUGGGAGUUUUAGACAGGAAUAAAGGUUUCAGCAGCCUGAAAAGGGGAGGCGGGGUGGAUGGGGAAGAGGAUGUAGAAAGAAAUAAGAUGUCUCAUGUAUAUGUGCCAACUCCCCCAAUGAUGAAUGUAAUAAUUAUU